rnacentral:lncRNA from 1 species
GGUGGUAGUGAGCAUCCUUAUCUUGUUCCUGAUCUUAGAGGAACUACUUUCAGGUUUUUCACUAUUGAGCAUAAUGUGAGGUGUGGGCUUAUCGUAUGUGGCCUUUAUGAUGUUGAAGUAGGUUCCCUCUAUCCCAACAUUGAUGAGAGUUUUUAGCAUGAAUGGAUGUUGAAUUUUUUUAAUGCUUUUCCUAUAUCUAUUGAGAUGAUCAUAUGAUUUUUAUUUUUCAGUUUGUAAAUGUGGUGUAUAACAUUGAAUGAUUUGCGGAUAUUGAAAAAUCUUGCAUUCCUGGGAUAAAUUCCUCUUGAUGUGGGCUGUGAUCCUUUUAAUGAAUUGUUGGAUUUUGUUUGCUAAUAUUUUGGGGGGAUUUUUACAUCUAUGUUCAUCAGUGAUAAUCAGUGAAAAUUAAAGCCUGUAAUUUUCCUUUUCUUGUGGUAUCUUCAUUUGAUUUUAGUGUCAGGGUGAUGCUGGCCUCAUAGAAUGAAUUUUUGAAAGUGUUCCUUCCUGCACAAUUUUUUGGAAUAGUUGUAGAAGGAUAGGUAUUAACUCUUCUUUAAAUAUUUUGUAUAAUUCACCUAUGAAGCCCUCUGGUCCUAGACCUUUGUUUGUUUGGAAAUUUUAAAGUACUAACUCAGUUUAAUUUCUGGCAAUUAGACUUUUUGUAUUUUCUUUUUUUUUUUUUUUUCCCAUGCCUGUGGCAUGUGGAAAUUCCUGGACCAGGGAUCAAACCUGCGCCACAGCAGUGAUCUGAGCUGCUGCAGUGACAGCGAUGGAUUCUUAACCAGCUGCACCAGAAGGGAACUCCUGUUCAUAUUUUCUGUUUCUUCCUGAUUCAGUCUUGGGAGAUUGUGCGUUUCUAGGAAUUUAUCUAUUUCUUCUAGGUUGACCAUUGUAUUGGUAUUUAAAUUUUUAUAGUAAUCUCUGUGAUUCUUUGUAUCUGUCUUGACAUUCUUAAUAUUUUUGGACAAGAGUCCCUGCAUUUUUUUUUUCUUUUUUGGCCACCCUGCAGUUUAUGGAGUUCCUGGGCCGGGGAUCAGAUCUGAGCCACAGUUGUGACCUAAGCCACAGUCAUGGCAACAACAUACCCUUAACCCACUGUGCCAGGCAGGGGAUUGAACCUGCUAUCCCAGUGCUAUAGAGCCACCACUAAUCCUGUUCCGCUACAGUGGGAAUACCUCUGCAUUUUUAUUUUACCCUGGACCUUACAAAUUACAUGGGCAUUCUGGCUUCUGGUGCCUUUUUACUUGGUGUAUUUACACAGGCUAUAAUCCCACAGAUAUCACUUAGGCAAACCAUUAUGCAAUCCAAGACAAUUUCAUUGUGGUUUGAUUUGCAUUUCCCUUAUGAUUAGUGAUGCUGAGAAUCUUUUUAUGUAUCUAGUGGCCAUCUGUAGUGUCUUCUUUGGAAAAAUGUAUGUUCAGGUUCUCUGUUUUUUUAAUCAGGUUGGUUUUUUUGAUGUUGAGUUGUAUGAAUUUUUUGUAUAUUUUGGAUAUUAAUCCCUUAACAGAGAUAUCAUUUGUAAAUAUUCUCUGUCAUUCAGUAGGUAGUCUGUUAUUUUAUUUUUUUUGUCUAUAGUUUCUUUCACUGUGGAAAAAAGCUUUUUAAUUUUAUGUAGUCCCAUUUUAAAAAACAUUUCAUUUUGUUUCCCUUGCCUGAGGAAACUUAACUUAAAAAAGUGUUGCUAAGACAAAUAUAAAAGAGCAUAUGCCUGUUUUCUUUUAGGAAUCUUAUGGUUCUGGUCUUAUAUUUCAGUCUUUAAUCUAUUUUUGGUUAAUUUAAUUUAAUUCAAUUUAAUUUAAUGCCAUACUGGCAGCAUAUGGAAGUUCCUGGGCCAAGGAUUGAACCCACACCACAGCAGCAACGCAAGCCACUUCAGUGGCAGCACCUGAUCCUUAACCUGCUGAGCCACCAGAGAGCUCCCUAGUUUAUUUUUUAUAUGAUGUGAGAGAGAAGUCCAGUUUGAUUUUUUGUAUGUAAUUGUUCAGUUUUCCUAUUACCAUUUAUUGACGAGACUGUCUUUCCCAUUGUAUAUCCUGCCUCCUUUGUUGUAGAUUAAUUGCCUAUAUAAAUAUAGGAUUCAGGGGAAGUGGGAGUGGAUGAAAUGUGAGGAGACCAGGAGUGACUGUGUACAGUUCUGUGACAACAUAUGCUGUGUGUGUGCCCUCCCUGAACAUCCAUUUUAUAUUUUUACACCCUGUCACAGAUAGGUUGAUUGAGGAUUAAUGAGACAAUUAUGCCAGGCACCUGGGAUGCUCUCUGAUGUAUGUUAAAUAAGAUCCAUAAUAAGUGAGUUCCUGGCCCCAGUUCUGAGAUGGGCCUUUUUAAAAGCAGAGAUGAAGCAAGCGUCUUUGGGUAGAGGAAGGUUUAGAAGUGAUUUUUGGUACAUCUGUUUGUUUUAGUCCCUGUGUAUAUAUGCAGAUUUUUUUUUUUUGUCUUCUCUAGGGCCCCUCCUGUGGCAUAUGGAGGUUCCCAGGCUAGGGGUCUAAUUGGAGCUAUAGCUGCCAGCCUAGACCAGAGCUACAGUAACACGGGAUCCAAGCCGCGUCUGCAACCUACACCACAGGUCAACAGCAAUGCUGGAUCCUUAACCCACUGACAAGGCCAGGGAUUGAACCCGCAACCUAAUGGUUCCUAGUCGGAUUCGUUAACCACUGAGCCAUGACGGGAACUCUCUAUAUAUGCAGAUUUUUAAGUGAGAGUCUGUCUCUAAAGUGGGCAGAGACUGAUAGCCUCCACUGAUGCUUGGAUAACAUGAGAGAUUACCCUCAGGAAAAAAAAAAAAA